UACGUAGGGUGCGAGCGUUGUCCGGAAUUACUGGGCGUAAAGAGCUCGUAGGUGGUUUGUCGCGUUUGUCCGUGAAAUUCCCUGGCUUAACUGGGGGGCGUGCGGGCGAUACGGGCAGACUGGAGUACUGCAGGGGAGACUGGAAGUUCCUGGUGUAGCGGUGGAAUGCGCAGAUAUCAGGAGGAACACCGGUGGCGAAGGCGG
rnacentral:rRNA from 1 species